GAUUAACGCUGGCGGCGUGCAUAACACAUGCAAGUCGAACGAUGAAACUUUAAUGAACCCUUCGGGGAGAAUUAAAGCGGAUUAGUGGCGAACGGGUGAGUAACGCGUGAGUAACCUGCCUUACACAAGGGGAUAGCCUUUGGAAACGAAGAAUAAUACCCUAUAAAACCAUAAAAGCACAUGCAAUUAUGGUCAAAGUGAUAGCGGUGUAAGAUGGACUUGCGUCUGAUUAGCUAGUUGGUGAGAUAAAAGCCCACCAAGGCAACGAUCAGUAGCCGGCUUGAGAGAGUGUACGGCCACAUUGGGACUGAGACACGGCCCAGACUCCUGCGGGAGGCAGCAGUGGGGAAUUUUGCACAAUGGGGGAAACCCUGAUGCAGCGACGCCGCGUGAUUUAGAAGGCCUUCGGGUUGUAAAAAUCUUUUGUAUAGGAAGAAAAUGACAGUACUAUACGAAUAAGGUCCGGCUAAUUACGUG
rnacentral:rRNA from 1 species